rnacentral:rRNA from 1 species
AUGGAAGAUGGCGAAGAAGUUGGCGCGUUCGGGCGCCGACUCACCGCGCUCGUUGGAGAAAUUCAAGCACUUGGCGAGAACUUGCAGGAGCACGCCGUUGUCAAGCGGCUGUUCGCGGCGGUCCCGGAUCGCUUCCUGCCGAUAAUCGGGACAAUCGAGCAAUGGGGCGACGUCAAGAAGAUGUCUGUCGUUGAGGCCAUUGGGCGGCUGCGGGCGUUCGAGGAGAACCAGUCCGGACGGCGCCAAGACCGCGGCGACGACGGCGAGAAGUUGAUGCUGGUCUCCCGUGCGCAGUUGGAGGCACUGGUCCAGGAGGAAAAGAAGAAAGGAGAGGGUUCCAGUAGCGGCAGCAAGAAUGGCGACGGGCGUGGCGACAAGAAAAAAACCCGUGGCAAGUUCGACAAGUCGAAGAUUACCUGCUUCGAGUGCGGGGAGAAAGGUUAUUUCAACUCCGAGUGUGAGGCGUUGAAGAAGGAGAAGGCGCUUCUUACAGCUGCCGACGUUGACUACGAACCGGGGCUGCUGAUGGCGGUGGCAUGUGAACUUGCACCGGGGGCGGAGGAGCAGGUCACGGACGUCGUCCAACCAGAAGAUAUGGAGGUGAAGGAGGUGCUUAGCCCCUUGGCCAUCGAGGCCGAGUUGGAAGCGGCCAGGGCCGAGGCUGAGCAGUUACGUGGUGAGCUGGCCGAAGCCAAUGCGAAGUUGUAUGCUGUGUCCCACGAGUAC